CGACCGAGUAAAAAACGAACCCGUCGAGCUAAGCUACCCCUCAGAAAAGAAAAGAAGAGCCGAGCCCCGAUUCAUUCCUCCCCCUCCACCGCCGCCGGCCGCCAACCACCGCCCCGUCUCCCUCACACCUCGCCGCCGGCCUACCCCCCUCCCCACACAGGGAUCUGAUCUCUCCGGGGGCCACCUUCGGCGAGCGCAGCGGCGGGCUGCCGAAGGAGGCGCAGGAGCUCGCCGUGCUCUGCGAGGCGGACAGCGCCGGCAGGCAGAUGACUACUGCAGCCCCCACACAAGGUUUACUCGCAUAUACGCACUCUACAAGAGUGCUAGCCUAUACUGUCAUAGUGUGGAGGCAGACCGGACAAGAUCUGCCAUGCAUCCGCCGCAGGCACGGCAGAGCUUGGCCAUCUGGAUAAGAAGCUAGAGCGCGCGCGGGGUAAAGUCAGCGAAAUGAAGGUGGAGCUACAGCAUGAUAGUAGAAGAAAAAAGUAAGCACGAUAGUGCUUCUGAAGUAGAAGAAAAAUGUAAGCACGAUGGUGCUUCUGAUUCUGAAUCCACUCCACUAUGCACGGUGGCGCGCUGCCCAGCGGAGAUGCCACCACCGACCCUGCCUCCCCGUACUUCAUCGACGCCGCCCACCCAUACGCGGCCGCCACCACUACUAGAUUUUCCAUUAUAGCCGAGGGUCCAAUCAUCGUCGGAUAUAUAAGUUCACCGUCGGAUACCCUAAUAACCGACGGGUCACCGUCGGCUAUCUCCCGUCGGUCUUGCUUUGUCGGCCAUUACACAUAUAUCCGACGGUACCGUCAGAUAAUAUCUUUUCCAACGGUAAUAGGCCGACGGUUAACCAUAAGACAUAAAUUGAUCAUCAGAAGCUCGACGACACUUAUAGCCGAUGGUUCCCCGCCGGAUAUUUAUUUUCCUACGGUUAUUGCCCCCCGUCAAUUUUCUUAAUAGUCGACAGUAUAUUUGACUGUCAAGGUUAUUUAUAACUGAGAGGAGUGCCAAACCGUCAGUUUAUAUGAUUACUGAUGGUGCAUAGAACCCUUCGGGGAUUCCUUUAGUUGAGAAUUUUCUAGCACCAUCAAUUGUAUAAAUUCACCAAUGUUCUGAAGUUCCUGUGGUCAUAUUGUGUACCCAAGAUGUUUGUUGCACCGUAGGAAAUAAGUCACCCUUACAAAUUGCUUGUAUCGAGGGUUGUUGCAUACCAAGAAACUGUGAU